GCUUCUAUGGCGUAGCUGGUUAUCGCAUCGGUCUCAUAUUUAACAUAUGAUCUAGCACUGCUAGAGCAAUCCGGGGGUCGCCGGUUCGAGCCCGGCUAGGAGCA